UACAGAGGUCCCAAGCGUUGUUCGGAUUCACUGGGCGUAAAGGGUGCGUAGGCGGUCGGGUAAGUCUGAUGUGAAAUCUCACAGCUUAACUGUGAAACUGCAUUGGAUACUAUCCGGCUCGAGGAAUGGAGGGGAGACUGGAAUACUUGGUGUAGCAGUGAAAUGCGCAGAUAUCAGGAGGAACACCGGUGGCGAAGGCGGAUCUCUGGGCCGUAACUGACGCUGAGGAGCGAAAGCAUGGGGAGCGAACAGG
rnacentral:rRNA from 1 species